UGGACAUCAGAAUUGCAGAUUUGACAGCAUGGCACAUGUUGUGCACCAAUCAGUCCCGAAAGAUGGUGUGUUUUAAUCAUGUUAUCAUCAUUGUCCAGCCAUAUCACCAACAAACACAAAAAAUAAGCAAUCCAAGACCAAGGAAAGAAAAAAACACAGAAAUCUGAACUAGAGAGGCAGGACUUGUGUUGUGUUAACAAAGGUGGGAAAUGGACAUCAGAAUUGCAGAUUAGACAGCAUGGCACACAUCGUGCACCGAUCAGUCCCGAAAGAUGGUGUGUUUUAAUCGUGUUUUUCAUCAUUGUCCAGCCAAA